UUUUAACACUAGCAGUUGUCAGUGCCUUUACAGUAACCUAGCCUUAACCCCAACAACCAAGCCUGCCAACACUUGCUAUUGCAUUAGUAAGUCCUUGAACAUGAAGAACCACACUCCCAAGGACUGGAUGAAAACUCCAUCUCAUCUUUACAAGGUGCUGAAUAACAGCACUAGCACCCUCUAGUGGGAUAGAAACACAAUUGACUGUGUGUUUAGGUGGAAGACUGACGAAACAGCAGGGUAAAGCAAAACAAGGUCCACUCAGUGGCGACAUCCUUCGGUCAUGUUCAACAACGACCAAGCAACACCCUAUUAAUGUAGCCUAUUUUAAAAAGCUGUCUGGAAUUCAUUCACAGCUAAAUAACUACAUGGCACAUUAGCCACAUGCAAUCAAAAUACUGUAGAUUGGCCCUUUCAAUGCCCAGCUACAGCGUCUCAGUGCCAUUCUGUUGCAUGGAUACUCUGAACUAACAGGUCAUGGUUAGAACAAAACGGAUAGAGCUUUUCGAAAUUGCAGGGUAUUGAAAAUGCGAUUGGGAAACUGUAGAUUUGGCAGCUAUAACCUACAGACGAAGCCAACAAACCUAAUCUAUGAAUAUUCAAGCAGCUGCAACACAAGCUGCAAUGGUGCACAUAGUUCGCCAUGUAUAAACCACAGGGGGACAAAGAAAAUAAAAAAGUUCCAACCGCCGCAAAUUCGAGAGUACGCCCAACUGCAACAAGAAUGCGAAUCGCCGCUUACAUUUGCAUGUACAGGAAUGUGACUGAAAUGGUGCUACUAAAAAAGACGACAGACAAUGAUGCUGAGAGAUAUAAAGGAUCCAUGGAAUGACCCAUAUUUCCUCCAGAGCCAGAAAGCUGCAGUCAUACAUCAUUUACCAACCAUUUGUCUGACGUCAGAGGACUUGCGAGGACUACACCCCCAAUCCUGAAAGAAGUCAGCUUCUUUCUGUCUGUUUGUUUUUAACUAAUUAAUUAAAAAUAAAAAGCUGAAAUGUC